rnacentral:rRNA from 1 species
UUAAAUUGAAGAGUUUGAUCAUGGCUCAGAUUGAACGCUGGCGGCAGGCCUAACACAUGCAAGUCGAACGGUAACAGGAAGCAGCUUGCUGCUUCGCUGACGAGUGGCGGACGGGUGAGUAAUGUCUGGGAAACUGCCUGAUGGAGGGGGAUAACUACUGGAAACGGUGGCUAAUACCGCAUAACGUCGCAAGACCAAAGAGGGGGACCUUCGGGCCUCUUGCCAUCAGAUGUGCCCAGAUGGGAUUAGCUAGUUGGUGAGGUAACGGCUCACCAAGGCGACGAUCCCUAGCUGGUCUGAGAGGAUGACCAGCCACACUGGAACUGAGACACGGUCCAGACUCCUACGGGAGGCAGCAGUGGGGAAUAUUGCACAAUGGGCGCAAGCCUGAUGCAGCCAUGCCGCGUGUAUGAAGAAGGCCUUCGGG